CAUACAUUGGCAGGCAUCGUCAGGGUCGGGAUCGAACCCACGACCUCCUGCACACCAGGCGAGUCCCAAGCCUUCGACCGUGGCAGAAUGGUCGCGGCUGAGACGACUCGUGCUGACGAGAUGAAUCCGUCGUUGUCAACGCGUGCCAGGAAUCUCCUCCAGGCCGAGGAGCCGAACCGCCCAUUGGCGGCCGAGCUGAUGAGGCGGCUGGUGCUGAUGCAGCUGAAACAGCUGAUGGAGCUGCGGAGGAGGAGGCUGGAACUGGAGCUGGGGCGGGUGAAGAUAAAGCUGGAGGCGUCCGGGUCCGGGAACAUCUC